rnacentral:rRNA from 1 species
AAGUCGAGCGGACCGAACGAGAGCUUGCUCUUGUUCGGUCAGCGGCGGACGGGUGAGUAACACGUGGGCAACCUGCCCGCAAGACCGGGAUAACUCCGGGAAACCGGAGCUAAUACCGGAUAACACCAAAGACCGCAUGGUCUUUGGUUGAAAGGCGGCUUCGGCUGUCACUUGCGGAUGGGCCCGCGGCGCAUUAGCUAGUUGGUGAGGUAACGGCUCACCAAGGCGACGAUGCGUAGCCGGCCUGAGAGGGUGACCGGCCACACUGGGACUGAGACACGGCCCAGACUCCUACGGGAGGCAGCAGUAGGGAAUCUUCCGCAAUGGACGAAAGUCUGACGGAGCGACGCCGCGUGAGCGAAGAAGGCCUUCGGGUCGUAAAGCUCUGUUGUGAGGGACGAAGGAGCGCCGUUUGAAUAAGGCGGCGCGGUGACGGUACCUCACGAGAAAGCCCCGGCUAACUACGUGCCAGCAGCCGCGGUAAUACGUAGGGGGCGAGCGUUGUCCGGAAUUAUUGGGCGUAAAGCGCGCGCAGGCGGUCCUUUAAGUCUGAUGUGAAAGCCCACGGCUCAACCGUGGAGGGUCAUUGGAAACUGGGGGACUUGAGUGCAGGAGAGGAGAGCGGAAUUCCACGUGUAGCGGUGAAAUGCGUAGAGAUGUGGAGGAACACCAGUGGCGAAGGCGGCUCUCUGGCCUGUAACUGACGCUGAGGCGCGAAAG